ACGUAGGGUGCGAGCGUUAAUCGGAAUUACUGGGCGUAAAGCGUGCGCAGGCGGUUUUGUAAGACAGAGGUGAAAUCCCCGGGCUCAACCUGGGAACUGCAUCUGAUACUGGAAAGCUUGAGUCUCGUAGAGGGGGGUAGAAUUCCAGGUGUAGCGGUGAAAUGCGUAGAGAUCUGGAGGAAUACCGGUGGCGAAGGCGGCCCCCUGGACGAAGACUGACGCUCAGGUGCGAAAGCGUGGGGAGCAAACAG
rnacentral:rRNA from 1 species